ACGGAAGGCAGCAGUGGGGGAUAUUGCGCAAUGGAGGAAACUCUGAUGUAGCAAUGCCGCGUGAGGGAAGAAGGUCUUCGGAUUGUAAACCUAAGUAGACAGGGACGAUAAUGACGGUACCUGUAAAGUAAGCUCCGGCUAACUACGCGCCAGCAGCCGCGGUAAUACGUAGGGAGCGAGCGUUGUCCGGAAUUACUGGGUGUAAAGGGUGCGUAGGCGGGUCAGCAAGUCAGGUGUGAAAUACCGGGGCUCAACUCCGGGGCUGCACUUGAAACUGUAGAUCUUGAGUGAAGUAGAGGUAAGUGGAAUUCCCAGUGUAGCGGUGAAAUGCGUAGAUAUUGGGAGGAACACCAGUGGCGAAGGCGACUUACUGGGCUUUAACUGACGCUGAGGCACGAAAGCAUGGGGAGCAAACAGGAUUAGAUACCCUGGUA
rnacentral:rRNA from 1 species